AGCUUUGUGGAUGCUCUGAGCUUUUUUUGAAAAUUUUUUAGCCAGUUAAAAGAUAUUAAGGGAUUAUGGAUAAUUUUUUUUAGGGGUGAUAAGUUUUGCAUUUGUUUUAAAGAGCCCUUAUCUUGGAGGGGCACAUUCUGAAAUAUUUACAGGAGAAAUAACCCAGUGCCUGAGGUUUGCUUCUAAGGAAAGCAGGAGGGGAUAGGGCAGGUUGUAGGCUGCUGGUGGUCAGGGCUGGGUCAUACUGGCUAUAAAGGAUUUAUUUAUGUACUAUUCUGUGGACUCCUGGUGUGUUUGAAGUGCUUCCUCAUUCAGAAGCAUACAUGGGAUUUGAUGAGGUCUGAUUUUCCACUCAUUUUUCCAUGGCUACCCAAAGUCCUCCCCCUACGCCAACCCGGAAGUUUGAGGAGCACGCGUGUGUGUCUAUCCUGCUUCCCGGCAUCCCCCAAGAACAGUGCCAAGUGAAGUCCAAGGCGGAGCAAAUGCUUCAGUGGUGGUUAGGCUCCUCCAUGGCGACUUGCAGCCGUGCAGCAUUUGGCCUGGACGCCAGUCAGACCACGUGCUCAGGAGCGACCCAGCGGCACUCGUGUUUGGUAUUGCUUGGCCGACAUUCCUCCCUUGUGCCUUUCCCAGGGCCUGCUGGACGUGGGGAGGCCCCCAGUGGAUCUGGAAACACAAGCCAAUCAAGGCUGGAGUCACCUGCCAUCCGGAAGGGUGCCAUCCUACGAGCGGGGACCAACAGAGGACCCAGUCCCCGCCCCACCUCCCCGUUCCUGCUGUACCGCCUUGUACUCAUUCUCCUCCCUCCAGUUGUGCACAGGGACCCCCACUUCAUUACGCCCUGGGCCCUGCAGACUAUACAGAGGAUCCUGCCCACAUCAAGCUGCGGCUGACAGCAACAAAUGGGAUGAGAUGAGCUUUGCUGACAAAUGCCACACACCCUGAAGCCCAGAACACAAACUCCUUUUCUCAAGACCUGAACGCUCAAGUCUAAAAUAUGUAAGUCUUUUCACCCGUGAUAAAUGCAAGCACUGAAGGUGAUAGCCGAGGGGAUUUUUAGAUAUGUAGUGGAAGCUGUUUUUAACUUUACUUUCAUUUUAUUUAAAAGGCAGAGAGACAGAGACAGCGAGAUCUUCCAUCUGCUGAUUCACUUCCCAGAUGCCCACAACAGCUCAGACUGGGCCAGACCGAAGCCAGGAAUCCAGAGCUCCAGCUGAGUUUCCCUUGUGUGUGGCAGAGACUCAAGAACUUGAGCCAUCCCCUGCUGCCUCCCAGGGUGUGCAUUAGCAAGAAGCUGGAUCAGAAGUCGAAGACCUGGGACUCGAACUCAAGCACUCCAAUAUGGGACCUGGAUGUCUCCGGCAGAAACUUAACUGCUGUGCCCCAUGCCUGCCCUGGAAGCAGUUUUUACGAAGAAACAGUUAAUUAUGUUGGACAUAAAAAGCUCUGUGCUCUCUGCGUUCACUUUUAUAUUCCAUUUAUAAAUUUCCCUUUCCUUAUAAUGAAUUCGAGACUCACUCUCAGAUAAAUGUCUGAAGAGAAAACUCCAAGAGUCUGUAUCCCCCAGGGGAGUCUUUGUUAUUCUCACAGUGUCCGUUUGUUCGAUUACACGCUAGACGAGCAUCUUGGACCUGGAACUAAAAUAUCAGUUCACGGAUGUUGUGAAUAGCCUAUUCCUCCUGGUAAAUUUCUGCCUCGCUUGAAAAAGUGACUUAGUCUGUAUGCUGUGCCUUCUUUCUGGCUCUUCUAAAUCUAGCCGGUUCACCCUCGUCCUUCUUCCCUGGCCAAAGCUGAAACUGGCCCCAGUGGGAUUUACCACUUGAUCUCUUGUACUGUUGAUCCCUGGGCCCUCUCUGGCCAUGAAAAGACUCGAAUGGUGGUGGCUGGUCAGGUAACUUCAGUUACUUAGCAACUUUCUCCAGCUUUGUUAAGUUGGGCUGUUCAAUCUCCUUAAUGAAUAAGAGCAUCAAGCCAGGUAAUUGAUGCCUGGACGUUUAGCUCAUGAAUAAUUGACUGUCUGGGUAAUCCUAGAUACAUUUCCUCGAUCAGAUUGUACAAUGGAACAGUCAUGUCAUAGCCAGUGUUGAGUUUUUUCUUUUCUCUGUCUUCAUCAGUUUUAUGAUGUCAGAAAUCUGCUUUUUUGACCCAAAGGUUCAGAUGAACCAUGGAGGCAGUGAUCCUCCCCACGCAAGCACACGCUCCCUCUGUCCUCCCCAAGAGCCCAGCAUUUCCCCUUUAGUUGGGCUUCAAAAAGUUUCAGCUCUCGUUGUUUAUCUUGUCAGCUAUCUUUUCCCACAUACAUCGGGAAGGCAGUGUGAUCGAAAGGAAAGGACGGGGACUGGGAAUUGGGUUUCCUGGGCAAUGCCAGUCACUUACUCCGCAGCUCCAGGCCAGCCUCAGCUUGUCUGACUCAUUCAUUCAUUCAUUCAUUCAGCAUGCAUUUUGGGCACCUCUUAUGUGCCAGACCCCGGAGAGUCCAUGACAAACAAGGUUAGCACUGUGUGCUCCCAGGGAGAGCUCCCAGGCAAUUCACAAGUGCACCAGGAACGGAACUAGUGGUUUUCAGGCAGUGCCGAGUGCUAUGCCAGAAAAUGAAAGUGGGAUAAGAUGGAUAGGAAGUGACUGAUAGAGGCAUGGGAAAGACUGGCGGUCACGGAAGAGCAGGGGAGCCCUCUCUCAAGAGGUGACAUCUGAUCUAAGAACUAAAUGACAAGGAGGAGCCAGCCAGGUGAAGAGGUGGGGAGAAGAAAUUUCCAGUUGGUGAAAUUGAAGACCAAGGCUCUCAGGUGGGAAUGGACUUAGCUUGUCUGAGGUACAGGAAGAGGGCCGUGAGGCUCAGGCGAAGGAUGGAGACCAUGGUGGGAAAGGGGACAGAUGCCCACGUUGGCCUCUCACUUUGACAUCUUUCAAGACCCCCAAACUCUGCAGCCUCCCCUGCCAGUCAUGGGGGCCUGCAGGAGGAGCUGUGGCAGGAGCUGGAUGCCUCACCAGUGGCUCAGUGGAACAAUUUGUGUACAAAAACCAAGAAGUGGGCGUUUGGUGCUGAAAUUAAGCCACCACUUGGGUGUGACUGCAUACCGUAUUGGAGCACCUGGGUUCGAGUCCCAGCUCCACUCCUGAUUCCACCUUCCUGCUAAUGUGCACCCUGGCAUGCGGUAGGUAAUGGUCCAAGUACUUGGGUCCCUACCACCCCUGUAGGAGUCCUGUAUUGAUUUCCCAGCUCUAGCCUUGGACUGGCCCAGCCCCAGCGAUGGCAGACCUUUGAAUCAGUGAACAGAAGAACUCUCUGUGUUUCUCUCUCUGCCUUUCAAAACAAAGUGGAAAAGGAAGGAAAAUGUUGUCAAAGCUCAGUUAAAGUUGGGAAUUGAUAAUUUCUUUUUUUUUCAACUUGACUCUCACUGGGAUUAAACAUGACAAUAGGUCUGAUCUGAUUUCAUCAUCAUUUAAAAAAUCAUCUAUUAUUUUUCACUUUAUGUUUCUGUGUGGGAGCAAACUGUUGAAAUCUUUACUUAAUGUAUGCUAAACUGAUCUUCUGUAUAUAAAGAGAAUCGAAAAUGAAUCUUGAUGUGAAUGGAAGGGGAGAGGGAGUGGGAAAGGGGAGGGUUGCGGGUGGGCAGGACGUUAUGGGGGGGAAGCCACUGUAAUCCAUAAGCCAUACUUUGGAAAUUUAUAUUCAUUAAAUAAAAGUAAAAAAAAAAAAAAAAAAGCUCGGUUC
rnacentral:lncRNA from 1 species